GCCAGCAGCCAUAUCACUCUGCAACACAACUGGCAACCCACUGAAGCUCAGUAGGUGUGAGCCUGGUCAGUACCUGGAUGGGAGACCUCCUGGGAAAAACUAAGGCUGCUGCUGGAA
rnacentral:rRNA from 1 species